CUUAGUCAGAGCCACAGAUCCUCUGCAGAGCGAUUUGAGAGGGUGUCAGUCUGUGUCUGAGUGCUUCAUUUCAUUGUGUGCCAUUGUUCCCAAUAACCUGCUCCUCUGCCAUCAUCCGCAUCUCCAGCUCACUCAUCUGCCUUCCUUCGGGAGGAGCUGGACAAGCCAGCUGCACAGAGGGGAAAUACCAGGAGGAUAAUGACCUAAAGGCCUUUGUCAUUUUGCAGAAUUUGUUUAACCAAAGACUGUGGAAUAAAGCUAGUUCAGCUCAGGGUGUUAUUUUUGGUGCUGGGUAGAAGAUGCGGAAACACCGGAUGUUACCGCUGUGCGCUCUUCUGGGCGUACUGUUUGCAGGACUGCUGCCCAAACUUGACGCUCAAGAGGAAGCACAAGAGUCAGCUGACCUUGUAUUCUUAAUUGACGGAUCUGAGAAUGUUGGAGCGGCCAACUUCCCCCGUGUGCGCGAUUUGGCUAUGAAAGUCAUUGAGGGCCUUGAUGUGGGCAGGGACACAAUUCGGGUGGCCGUGGCUCUGUACAGCGCGGACCCCGAGGUUCAGUUCUUUCUAAAUACCUAUGAGAACAAAGCCGCUGUCCUGGAUGCAGUGAAGACCAUUCAGUUCACAGGCAGCAAAGAGGCUAACCUUGGAGCCGCCUUGGAGAAAGUCGCUGAGAGCCUGUUGAGUCCGCCUUCAGGGGGCAGGGCAGAGGAGGGGGUGCCCCAAGCUCUGGUGGUUAUCAGUGCUGGACCGUCCAAUGACGAUUUCAGUGCGGGUGACAGGGCCCUUAAGGCAGCAAACGUUAUCACGUUUGGCGUAGUGGUCGGCGGCAUGGCCACUGCCGAGCUGGAGACUAUCGCCACAGACAAGAGUUUUGUUCUGUCGGCCCCCGAUUUCAGGGCAGUGGCAAGCAUGGGUGACCAGCUUCUACCAUACGUUAACGGGGUGACCCAGGGCACCAUUGUCGUUCAGAAUGAAUUCACAGAAGCCUUGGAAGUGGGAAAAAGGGACAUCAUUUUUCUCAUUGACAGCACUAUGGGUGCCACAACGAUCAACUCUCUUCGUGAGUUUAUCAAAAGGUUUGUUGACACCAUGCCAAUCGGACCGGACCAAGUGCAAGUAGGUGUGGCCCAGUUCAGCAAUGCCGCCAGGCUUGAGAUAGACCUGAACGCAUAUGGAUCCAAGGAGGACCUGAAUGCGGCUCUGGGAAGACUCAAGCCAAGACCGGGACAAGUGGUGAACAUCGGGGUGGCCCUGGACUUUGUGAGGACCAACAUGCUGAGGGCUGACAAGGGGAGUCGUAUUCAGCAGGGUGUGCCCCAGCUGGUGCUGUUGAUGACCAGUAAAAAGUCCAGUGACAGUGUGGGGCAGGCUGCUGAGGCACUGCAGCGCAUGGGGGUUCUGACCCUGGCCGCUGGCUCUAAGACUGCCGAUGAGCAGGAGCUGAAGCAGAUUGCCUUUGAUGAGAGUUUGGUGUUCAUGCUGAAUGACUUCCGCAUAUUGCUUCGCAACCCAGGGAUGAUUGUCUCUCUCCUCUCCACUCUAUCUGGGGUUGUGGUGACUGAGGGACCCACAGAGCCAGUGGUUGAAAUUACAACAGUGCAGACCCAGAGAGUAGUCAGAGACAUUGUCUUUAUGGUGGAUGGAUCUAGCUACAUUGGGGGUGCCAAUCUUCCAUAUGUGCGGGAUUUCAUUGUCGGCGUGGUAAACCUGCUGGACGUGCGGCCCGACAGGGUGCGCAUUGGCCUUAUGCAGUUUGCAGAGAACCCAAAGAUCGAAUUCUACCUGAACACACACAACACAAAGCAAGAUGUGCUGGCUAAAGUUGGUCAGCUCAGGCUAAUGGGAGGGUCUGCUUUGAACACUGGAGCGGCUAUGGAUUAUGCCCUUACCAACAUGUUCCAGGCCUCAACUGGGUCACGUCAGAGGCAGGGUGUCCAACAGGUGCUUCUCCUGAUCACUGGAGGCCCAUCUCAGGAUGAGGUUAAAAAGAUUGCAGACAAAGUGGCUGUGGCGGGUGUACUGACCUUCACAGUCAGUGCUGGCCAGGCAGAUGAGGCCUACUUGAAGACGGUCGCUUUCGUCCCAAACUUGGCUUACCAUGAAAGCAGAUUUUCUAGCCUACCAAGUGUUGUUGAACAGAUCAUGACUCCUUUGAUUACUGUGGUCGGCGACACAGACAUCUCAGUAACAGACAUUGAAAUAACCAAGGAACCUGCAGUUGUUCGAGGCGAGAGGGAUGUUGCAUUCCUGAUUGAUGGCUCGGAUAAUGUCCGAGCAGAUUUCCCCUACAUCCGGGACUUUAUCAUCAAAGUCAUUGAGCCUCUUGAUAUUGGACAAGAUAGAGUACGGAUUUCAGUUGUCCAACAUAGUGAGAGGCCAGCUCCCAACUUCUACCUGAAUACAUAUAAGAAUAAGGCUGAAGUGUUAAGGGCCGUUAAUGAUCUAAGACUGGCCGGUGGAAGGAAUCUAAACACCGGAAUGGCCUUGAAAUUCAUGAAGGACACUAUUCUGUCCCCGGUUCAUGGUAGCCGUGCGGCCCAAAAUGUCCCCCAGUUUUUGAUAGUUUUGACCGCAGGCAAGUCAAAGGAUAGCGUGAAGGAAUCUGCUGGCGCUUUAAAGACCAAUGGAGUGGUACCGUUUGCCGUUGGUGUCAAGGAUGCAGACCCUAAGCAAAUCGAGGCCAUUUCUCACAACCCAUCCUUUGCUUUCAAUGUGAAGGAAUUCAGCCAGCUCAAUAUGGUACAACAAAGGCUCAAUAGCUAUGUGAGCCUUCCCAAGGAAGAGCUGAAGGUCAUUCUGGACCAAGCCUCGGUUCAUGCGAUCUCAGUUCAUACUGAUGCUGUGAAAAGAGAUAUUGUAUUCCUGCUGGAUGGUUCUGAUGGCACAAGGAGUGGAUUCCCAGCAGUGCGAGAUUUUAUUCAAAGUAUAGUGGGUAAACUAUCUGUGGAGGAGAACAGAGACAGAGUUUCUGUGGUUCAGUACGCUGACAAACCAGAGGCCCAUUUCUAUCUGAACUCUCACAAAACAAAGGAUGCCAUUAUUAAUGCUGUAAGUAAAAUGAGACACAAGGGUGGAAGGAGCCUAAACACUGGGGCUGCUCUCCAGUUUGUAAGACACCGUGUCUUUACUGCCUCCUCUGGCAGUAGACGACUGGAAGGUGUGCCCCAGAUCCUGAUUCUUUUGACUAGCAAGAAAUCCAGAGAUGAUGUUAAGGGCCCUGCUGUAGCUCUGAAAGAUCUGGAAAUUGUGUCAUUGGGGGUCGGAGUUGGGGACGCCAAUGUCCGUGAAUUGGAAAUUAUUUCCUUCCAACCUGGUUUCACAUACCAGGUCACCGAGUUCUCUGAGCUGCCCACAAUCCAGCCACAGCUUGUUGCUACGCUUAAAAGACUGUCGAAAGACACCGAAGAAUCAGUAGCUCCUGUGACACCUGGGAUUCCUGAUUUAGUAGAUGCUGCACAGAGAGACAUAGUGUUCCUAUUGGAUGGGUCUGAUGAUACUAUGAGUGGAUUUCCAGCAAUGCUUGGCUUUGUUCAAAGAGUAGUGGAAAACAUCAAUGUUGGAGAGAACAAAGAUCGAGUUUCUGUGGUCCAGUACAGCAGAAAUCCAGAGGCCCAUUUCUUACUGAACACAUAUCCAGAAAAACAAAGUGUUCUAAGUUCUAUUCGAAGCCUAAAGCACAAAGGGGGUAGACCACUCAACACUGGGGCAGCCCUGCAGUAUGUAAAGGACAACGUCUUCACUUCCUCCUCUGGAAGCAGAGGCCAAGAGGGCGUCCCUCAGAUACUGAUACUGCUGAGUGGUGGCAGAUCUCAAGAUGAUGUUGGAGGUGCUGCUGUUGCUUUGAAACAGAACAGAAUUGUACCAUUCUGUAUUGGUACAAGGAAUGCAGACAUAUUAGAGCUCCAAAUAAUAGCUCGUUUCCCCUCCUAUGCUCUUUCUGUCCCUUGGUUCGAUGACCUUGAAAGCAUUGAACAGCAGCUUUUGUCACUUGUAAAAAGGGUCCCUCGUCAGCCAAGAGUUUAUCAACCAACUGUAGUAGGUAAGGAGUUAUUUCUCUACCUCUCUUCAUUAGCCAUUUAAUCUCUCACAUUUCAGGUUGCUACCUUCUUGCUGAAAAUAGCUGGAUGUCUUACUCAGUACAUUCAUGAUUCUAUUUUAAGCAUGCCUGGUGAAAAAUGUAGCUAUCACAUUCUAGUCACAAAUAUACAUUUACAUGAUCUUUCUUUAUCAUUUUACUGCAAAUUACAUUUUAUUCAUAUGAAUCUCUAGAUAAAACUGAAUAUAAACAACGGGAUGUUGUUUUUUUACUGGAUGGCUCUGAUGAAACUCUAAAUGGAUUUGAGGCUAUGCGUGACUUUGUGCAAAGAGUAGUGGAGAAACUCACUGUGGAGGAGAACAGAGAUCGAGUCUCUGUUGUCCAGUACAGCAGAGAACCAAAGGCCCAAUUCAAUCUGAACACUUACACAACAAAGGAAGAUGUUGUUGACACUGUAAGAGGCCUGAGGCACAAAGGAGGGAGACCCCUCAACACUGGGGCAGCUCUCCAGUAUGUCAGGGACAAUGCCUUUAUUGCCUCCUCCGGAAGCAGACGCCAAGAGGGCAUCCCUCAGAUUCUGGUUCUAUUGAGUGGGGGAAGGUCCAAUGAUGAUGUUAGAAAUGCAGUUACAAACUUGAAAGAAAUUGGUGUCAUGGCAAUAGUGGUUGGAAUGAGGAAUGCCGAUAUACUUGAGCUUCAAUCAAUUUCAUAUGAACCUAGCUAUGCUUUCUCUGCUACACAUUACAACGAUCUCCCAAACAUUCAACAGCAAGUAGUAUCUGCUAUUGAGAGAGUUGAAAUGACCACUACUAACUUGCCAACAACAUUAAUAGAUACAUCAAAUGAUACCAGGAGGGACAUUGUGUUUUUACUUGAUGGUUCUGAUGAUUCCCGAAGAAGAUUUCCAGAUAUUCAAGACUUUAUUCAGAGAGUCGUGGAAAAACUCAAUGUAGAUGGGAACAAAGAUCAUGUGUCUGUGGUUCAAUACAGUGACACAGCAGAGGUCAAUUUCAAGUUGGGUAUGCAUUCAAAAAAAGAUGAUGUUCUUGAUGCCGUAAGAGGUCUGAGGCACAAAGGAGGAAGUCCUCUCAAUACUGGAGCAGCUCUCCAGUACGUGAGGGGCAAUGUCUUUACUGCCUCCAAUGGAAGUAGAAGCCUGCAAGGUGUUCCACAGAUACUGAUACUGCUGAGUGGUGGAAGAUCUAGAGAUGAUAUCAGAACCCCCAUCACAAAGCUCAAGGAAAUGGGAGUAAUUUCAAUUGGUAUUGGCACAGGAGAUGCCGACACACUUGAACUACAAACGAUAUCUCAUGAACCCAAUUACGCCCUUUCUAUUACUGAUUUCGAAGACCUUCCCACAAUUCAGGAAGAAUUGUUGUCAUUGUUAACAGAAGCAUCCCAUCAACCAGUGCCAACUGCCCCUACCAUGCAUUUUGAAUCUGACAAAAAGGAUGUUGUAUUUCUCAUUGACGGAUCUGACGACUCUAGAACUGGCUUUGCUGGGAUUCGCCGCUUUGCAGAGAAAGUAGUGGAGAGUCUUAAUGUGGAGGAAAAUGGCGACCGGGUGGCCCUUGUUCAGUACAGUCGGGAUGCCACACCCAAUUUCUAUCUGAAUUCAUACUCUUCUAAAAAUGAUGUGCUUAAUUCAAUAAGAUCCAUGAGGCACAAAGUUGGAAGACUCCUCAACACUGGCACAGCACUGCAGUUUGUGAGAGACACUGUCUUUACUGCUUCAGCUGGAGGCAGACGUGCAGAGGGUGUGCCUCAAUAUCUAUUUGUUUUCAGUGGUGGGAGAUCUAGCAAUGACUUAAGAGGACCUGCGCAGUCAUUGAGGGGUGAUGGAGUAAGAACAUUUAGCUUUGGAACAAGGAAUGCUGAUACAUUGGAGUUACAAAGCAUAUCUUUUACACCAGCACACUCUUUUUCUGUUGCCAAUUUUAACAAGCUUGACGGGAUACACUCUUCCGUGGCUGCUGUAAUGAGUGGUGUUAAGGAAACACCUGAUAUUUCAACUGUCAUUGACAAUUCCACUUUGUUGACAUCAGAUAUCCAGAUGGUGGAUGGGGUUGAUGUUGUAUUUUUACUUGAUGGAUCUGAUAAGAUGCGAGAAAGUGUCCAAUCAAUACGUGAUUUUCUUGGCCAAUUUGUUGAACAUCUAGAAAUUGGGCCUGACAAAACACGUGUUGCUGUGAUCCAGUACGGUGACAAACCCACCACUAGUUUCCUAUUGAACACAUACUCAUCGAAGAGUGAUAUCAUGGCAAAAGUACGCAACAUCAAUAUUGAAGGAGGAAGGUCCCUCAACACUGGGGAAGCUCUUGAUUUUGUUGAAAACAAUAUAUUUACUGCCUCCUCUGGAAGCAGACUCCAAGAGGGUAUUCCUCAGAUCCUGAUACUGCUAAGUGGGGAGAAAUCCCAGGAUGAUGUUCUGGUUCCAUCUGAGAGUCUGAAGGCAGCUGGAAUUGUGCUUUUGACUGUUGGGGUCAAAGACGCAGAUGGAGCGGAGAUGCAGAAUAUUGCAUACAGUCCUAAUCAGGCCUAUCUUCUCAGAGAGUUUUCUGACCUCUCUCUUGUUAGACAACAGUUACUCUCAGCAAUUGUCUCUCACAAAGAUGAAGCAAGACCAGGCUUAGGUGAGUGAAACAGAGUACAAUAUCAAACGAUUUCUUUGAAAAUAAUUAUAUAAUAAGUUGUUUUUCAAUCAUUUUCAAAAUAUAGUAUGUAGAUUAUACUGUAGCAUGAAAUGUAUAUUAUGUACCGUGCACAAUUUGCUGAUUUAGUUGAAUUUUCAUUCUAGUUCAAAGCCCCAGUGUGAAAAGAGACAUCGUUUUCCUCCUUGAUGGAUCUGAUGAUGUUAGGAGUAGAUUCACAGAAAUACGAGAAUUUGUUGCGAAAGUGGUGGAAAAGUUUGAUGUGGACCAGGGAAAAGAUCAAGUUGCUGUUGUGCAGUACAGCAACAGUGCAGCAGUGAACUUCAACCUGAAUUCUUACAAGACAGGAGAUGAUGUGCUUACAGCAGUCAGAAAUCUAAGACCAAAAGGUGGGAGGCCUCAAUAUACUGGCACAGCCCUCCAGUUUGUGAAGGACAAUGUCUUUACUAAUAAUGCUGGAAGUCGACGUCAUGAGGGUGCUCAACAGAUCCUAGUGCUAGUGACUGGUGGCAGAUCUAGAGAUUCUCCUCGAGGUCCUUCCAGGGCACUCAAGACUUUGGGGGUUGUAACAUUUGUAAUUGGAUCAAGGAUGACUGAUUUGGUUGAAAUGCAAUCAAUAUCAUCUCUUCCAAAUUAUUCUUAUUCAGUCCCUGAUUUUGCAAACCUUCAAAACAUCCAGAAAAACUUGGAGACACAUCUUGCUCAAGUGAGACCACAAGAGGAAACUAGAGUUGUUGAGAGUCAGGCUCCCAGGAGGGAUGUCGUGUUCUUGCUGGAUGGAUCUGAUGGCACUAGGAGUGGAUUCCCAGCAAUGCGGGACUUUGUUCAAAGAGUAGUGGAGACACUCGGUGUGGAUGAGAACAGAGAUCGCGUGGCUGUGGUCCAGUACAGUAAAGAUCCAGCCGCCCAAUUCUAUCUGAACACAUACACAACAAAAGGAGAGAUUCUCAACACUGUAAGAGGCCUGAGGCACAAAGGAGGGAGACCCCUCAACACUGGGGCAGCUCUCCAGUAUGUCAGGGACAAUGUCUUUAUUGCCUCCUCCGGAAGUAGGCGUCUUGACGGUGUUCCACAGAUUCUGAUACUGCUGAAUGGUGGAAGGUCCUUUGACAAUGUAGAUACACCAGCGUCUGCUCUCAAGGAGCUUGGUGUCUUGGUGUUUGGAAUUGGAACAAGGAGCUCUGAUAGCAGAGAAUUGCAAAAAAUAUCCUAUGACCCAAGUUAUGCUCUUUCCGUGUCUGAAUUUACUGACCUCCCCAACGUCCAACAGCAGCUUUUUUCUGCUAUGAGCACUGUCAUUGUACAGGUCACAACCAUGACACCAACAGUAAUACCAACAAUACUAGUUGAGAGUCAGGCUCCCAUGAGGGAUGUCGUGUUCUUGCUGGAUGGAUCUGAUGGCACUAGGAGUGGAUUCCCAGCAAUGCGGGACUUUGUUCAAAGAGUAGUGGAGACACUCGGUGUGGAUGAGAACAGAGAUCGCGUGGCUGUGGUCCAGUACAGUAAAGAUCCAGCAGCCCAAUUCUAUCUGAACACAUACACAACAAAAGGAGAGAUUCUCAACACUGUAAGAGGUCUGAGACACAAAGGUGGGAGACCUCUUAACACUGGAGCUGCUCUCCAGUAUGUGAGAGACAAUGUCUUUACUGUCUCCUCCGGAAGUCGACGCAUUGAAGGUGUUCCACAGUUACUGAUUCUGCUGAGUGGUGGAAGGUCCUUUGACAAUGUUGACACUCCAGCUUCUGCUCUGAAGGAGCUUGGGGUCUUGAUCUUUGGAAUUGGAACAAGGAGCUCCGAUAGCAGAGAAUUGCAGAGGAUAUCACAUGAUCCCAGUUACGCUCUGUCUGUCUCUGACUUCACUGACCUUCCAAACAUCCAGCAGCAACUUCUGUCCUCGGUGGAGGCAGUUGUUAUUGAGGUUACGCCAGAAUCGACAACAGAUUUAGUUGAUCAUGACACCUCCAGAAAGGAUGUGGUAUUCCUUGUGGAUGGUUCUGAUGGCACAAGGAAUGGAUUCCCAGCAAUGCGUGAUUUUGUUCAGAGAGUAGUGGGGAAACUCAAUGUGGGAGGAGACAAAGACCGCGUUUCUGUUGUCCAGUACGGUAGAGAUCAAGAAGUUCAUUUCUAUCUGAACACAUACACCACAAAGGAGGACAUUCUUGACACUGUCAGAAGUCUGAGGCACAGAGGAGGUAGACCCCUUAACACUGGGGCAGCCCUCCAAUACGUACGGGACAAUGUCUUUACUGCCUCCUCUGGAAGCAGAAGCCAAGAGGGCGUCCCUCAGAUGCUGAUACUGCUGAGUGGGGGAAGGUCCAGUGAUAAUGUUGACAUACCAGCUUCUGCCCUGAAAGAGAGUGGGGUCUUGAUCUUUGGCAUUGGAACCAGAAAUUCCAGCAGAGAGGUUCAAAGGAUUGCCACUGAUCCUAGUUUUUCACAGUCUGUUUCU